GAUGAACGCUAGCUACAGGCUUAACACAUGCAAGUCGAGGGGUAGCAGGGUAGCAAUACCGCUGACGACCGGCGCACGGGUGAGUAACACGUAUCCAACCUUCCCAUAACUCGGGGAUAGCCUUUCAAAGAAAGAUUAAUACCCGAUAGUACUUUUUCAAGGCAUCUUGAGAAAGUUAAAGAUUCAUUGGUUAUGGAUGGGGAUGCGUUCCAUUAGAUAGUUGGUGAGGUAACGGCUCACCAAGUCUUCGAUGGAUAGGGGUUCUGAGAGGAAGGUCCCCCACAUUGGUACUGAGACACGGACCAAACUCCUACGGGAGGCAGCAGUGAGGAAUAUUGGUCAAUGGGCGAGAGCCUGAACCAGCCAAGUAGCGUGAAGGAUGAAGGUCCUAUGGAUUGUAAACUUCUUUUAUAGUAGAAUAAAGUGACCUACGUGUAGGUUUUUGUAUGUAUACUAUGAAUAAGGAUCGGCUAACUCCGUGCCAGCCGCCGCCGUAA
rnacentral:rRNA from 1 species